rnacentral:rRNA from 1 species
UACGUAGGCAGCGAGCGUUGUUCGGAGUUACUGGGCGUAAAGGGUGCGUAGGCGGGUGUUUAAGUUUGGGGUGAAAUCUCCCGGCUCAACUGGGAGGGUGCGCCGAAUACUGAAUGACUAGAGUGCGGGAGAGGAUAGUGGAAUUCCUGGUGUAGCGGUGAAAUGCGUAGAUAUCAGGAGGAACACCGGUGGUGUAGACGGCUAUCUGGACCGUAACUGACGCUGAGGCACGAAAGCGUGGGUAGCAAACAGG